rnacentral:rRNA from 1 species
UAAGCGGAGGAAAAGAAACUAACAAGGAUUCCCCUAGUAACUGCGAGUGAAGCGGGAAAAGCUCAAAUUUAAAAUCUGGCGGUCUUUGGCCGUCCGAGUUGUAAUUUAGAGAAGCGUCUUCCGCGCCGGACCGUGCACAAGUCUCCUGGAAUGGAGCGUCAUAGAGGGUGAGAAUCCCGUCUUUGGCACGGAUGCCUGGUGCUUCUGUGAUGCGCUCUCGAAGAGUCGAGUUGUUUGGGAAUGCAGCUCAAAAUGGGUGGUGAACUCCAUCUAAAGCUAAAUAUUGGCGAGAGACCGAUAGCGAACAAGUACCGUGAGGGAAAGAUGAAAAGCACUUUGGAAAGAGAGUGAAACAGUACGUGAAAUUGUUGAAAGGGAAACGCUUGAAGUCAGUCGCGUCGACCGAGACUCAGCCUUGCCUCGGCUUGGUGUACUUCUCGGCCCGACGGGUCAGCGUCAAUUUUGCCCCUCGGAUAAUGGCAAGGGAAAGGUGGCACCUUUACGGGUGUGUUAUAGUCUCCUGUCGCAUGCGAGGGGUGGGAUUGAGGAACUCAGCGCGCACCUUGGUGUCGGGGCUUCGGCCCACGUCACGCGCUUAGGAUGCUGGCGUAAUGGCUUUAAACGACC